AGUGAACGCUGGCGGUAGGCCUAACACAUGCAAGUCGAACGGCAGCACAGUAAGAGCUUGCUCUUACGGGUGGCGAGUGGCGGACGGGUGAGGAAUACAUCGGAAUCUACUUUUUCGUGGGGGAUAACGUAGGGAAACUUACGCUAAUACCGCAUACGACCUACGGGUGAAAGCAGGGGAUCUUCGGACCUUGCGCGAUUGAAUGAGCCGAUGUCGGAUUAGCUAGUUGGCGGGGUAAAGGCCCACCAAGGCGACGAUCCGUAGCUGGUCUGAGAGGAUGAUAAGCCACACUGGAACUGAGACACGGUCAAGACUCCUACGGGAGGCCGCAGUGGGGAAUAUUGGACAAUGGGCGCAAGCAUGAUACAGCCAUACCGCGUGGGUGAAGAAGGCCUUCGGGUUGUAAAGCCCUUUUGUUGGGAAAGAAAAGCAGCAGGUUAAUACCCCGCUGUUCUGACGGUACCCAAAGAAUAAGCACCGGCUAACUUCGUG
rnacentral:rRNA from 1 species